CAAGGCUUAGAUAGAAAAGAUUAGUUAUCAAUGAGAGAAUGGAAAGUUCUAGAUGCACCUGAUGUUAUUUCCAGAUAUUGCCCACAGGAGCUUGAAGCAUGUAGUUUAGACCUUAGAUAAGCAGGAAUCCACAUUCCCAAGACACAUUUCACCACUACCCCAGGUUCUUUCUUGGAAUAGCCAGUUUCACCAAGUGUUCCUGUGUUUCCCUUCCAUCUGCCUGUUUUUCCCAACCUCAGAUGACAGGAAUAGGCAGCUGCCCCUUGCCAAGCAUUGGUGGGAGAUUCCCAAAUGUUCACCUGCUGCAGGGACAAGGGCAGGGUUGGACUGACUCCAUAACUUUAGCUGGAAGCCUUGCUCAGGAGUGCCCCCUACUUGAUGAAGGGAAAAGGUCAGACAAAUGGUCUCAAAGAACUGAAAGGUUGGAAUCUCCUCAGAAUUUCCUGAGAACAGCAAUGGUAGAGAUUUCCCAGCACACAAGAUGGCGGGCGAUGGAGACAUGGAGAGCGUCAGCACACACUGGACAGGAGCAGAGAGAGGAGAGGAAGGGAUGAGGAUGACACACUGUGAUCCAGGGCAUCCGGCCAGAAUGAACUUCAAAUAUGAAGAAAUUCCACAAAUAAUGCAUUUUCUGUUCUUACCUCCAUGCCCUUAUUGAAAACACCAUUCACUGUUCUUCCAGUAAGUUCCUUCGUUCAACAAUCGGGCCACUGUCCCAGAGACUUGGCAAGGGCCUUUGACAUCACCAACAGCAAGGGAAAUGUUUU
rnacentral:lncRNA from 1 species